ACCGGCCGUAGCACCCGGUGAGAGGCCCGGAUCCGCGGGAUUCCGCGGAUCCGGGCCUCUUCGCGUCUCGGCGCGUCGUCGGCA
rnacentral:pre_miRNA from 1 species